UAGGCUUGACAUGGUGGAAGUAGGACCCCGAAAGGGGAACGACUCGUAAAGUCGAGAACCAUCACAGGUGCUGCAUGGCUGUCGUCAGCUCGUGCCGUGAGGUGUUGGGUUAAGUCCCGCAACGAGCGCAACCCUCGGCGUUAGUUACCAUGUCUAACGCGACUGCCGGUUUCAAACCGGAGGAAGGUGGGGAUGACGUCUCUAGGAGGGUG
rnacentral:misc_RNA from 1 species